rnacentral:lncRNA from 1 species
UCACUUUUGAGUAUGACAAAAAUGUCCGUGUAUAGGAUGUUAAAAAAUGUUAUAGGAUAGUAAGUAAAAAACGUCAUGGUACAGAAUGAUAAAAAUGUCAUCGUUUAGUUUGAUUAAACUUUUAUCACAGUGAUAACUAACGUCUCUAAAAUCCUCUUUAGUUGUAAAGUUAGUGUCAGUUUAGAGGACCCUGUGUUCACUCUCACAGUGAUAAUUAACGUCUCUAAAAUCCUCUUUAGUUGUAAAGUUAGUGUCAGGUUAGUUAGAGGACUGCUGCUCUGUUACUGCUGACUGUCUGGGCUGUGACACAGUUGGCAGAGAAGCUGCUGACAGGAAAUGGGUCACGCCUCUACAGUCUCAUUCUCCAGUCGGGUUAAACAUUGUUCAGCGGGCUGACGGCUGAACAUCGCACUGGUGUAGAAUUAAACAAAGGCCGCCCGGGCAGAGACAUAAAGAGCAACCUCAGCAUUUCCCCUUGACGCAGAAGCCUCUGAAACAGCCAAAGCAACAGAGUAUUAGCAGAUGGAAGAAGCUGAAUGAAACCCAAACCCUGGAGUUCUGCAGGGCUCCUAAAUGAAGGAGGGUUUAAUUUUGCUGUUAGAGUUUAUCUUCAGGAGACUCAGACACGUUUAGGGACCAGUGAGACGAGACAGAAACUUCCACAGAGGUCAAGACGAGCUGCUAUCUGAUAUUUACUGAAAGCUCAGAAUAAUGGUUUUACUCUAAUCUCAGUGAGUCAGCCUUUGACUUCACCUGUGUGUGUGUGUGUGUGUGUGUGUGUGUGUGUGUGUGUGUGUGUGUGUGUGUGUGUAAGGAGUUGAAACCACAUAAUCCCAUUCAUCUGUAAUUAAAAGAGCUUGGAGCUGCAGCCUCCUGCAGCGUCUGAAAGAUGAAGAGUGGUCGAUCGAUGCUGUGUCAGGUCACACCAGAUUAACCCUACCUUAGUGUGUGUGUGUGUGUGCGCGCUUCACUGCUGCUCUGAAGGCCUGGUCCUGACUUUAGCGAUGACAUGGUGGAUGGAGAUGGAUCAGAGUGGGUCUGAACUUCCAGGACGGGUCUGAUCCAGUCUCUCCAUCAGGUCUUUGUGAGCGGAGAAAAAAAACUCGAUCAGCUUUUCUAAGAAACGUUUCAGGAGAACGUGUGAUGUGAACUGGCGCUGUAUAAAUAAAGACAAAUAAAAAUGGAGUGAUUGAUGUGAUGUGAUACCGUACAACAUGGUUUGAUAUAAGACUGAACCAAAGGAUGUGUUUGAUAGUGUCGACCCUCAUGUGUUAAAGUCUAUGUUUGUUUAUAGGAGGCCAAAAUACUGUGAUCAUGACACUGUUACUACAGACUGACUACAGACUGACUACAGACUGACUACAGACUGACUACAGACCAGUUUCUGUUCUUAUAUGUACAACAAUAACAAAGAUCAGCUGUUUGAGACGACAGAACAGAUGAUUUAAUCUACAGACUGAGCUGAGUUUGUCAAUCCUCAAAUUAUGUAACCGGACAAUAUCAUGUCACACUGUACGUGGAUAUUUACUGUACUCUGUGUGUGUGUGUGUGUGUGUGUGUGUGUGUGUGUGUGUGUGAGAGAGAGAGAGAGAGAGAGAGAGAGAGAGAGAGAGAGAGAGAGAGAGAGAGAGGAUAAGAGUUACAUAACUGUGUUGAAAUGUAUCUGGAGUCACAUGUUGAGUGUAAAGGCCUACAGUCACACACACACACACACACACACACACACAUGUGCAGAGAGUGUGUGUGUGUGUGUGGACGGUCGGACAGAGAGCUCCACGUGUGACCACCACAGACUGACAUCAUUUUACCCCCACUGCUGUAAUGUUAUUUCCUGCAGCAGGAAGUUGUCAAAGUAAAAGCCCCAAAAGACACGUCCUGUUUUCAAAUUAAAAGCCCAAAUUAGAAUAAAUCUGUAGAAUAUAAAAACAGGCAGAAACCUGGAAAACAGCCUGGAAACAGCUGCUAACUUCACCCUCUCUCUCUCUUAAAGGAGUUUGUUUGUUGGUUUCUGGACUCCAUCAUGUUUGAAUUGAAAAUAAAUCCAGGAUCACGGUCCUCAGACCUGCGGUAGAGCUGACCUGGAGGUCUUCAGACCUGACCUGGAGGUCCUCAGACCUGACCUGGAGGUCUUCAGACCUGACCUGGAGGUCCUCAGACCUGCGGCAGACCUGACCUGGAGGUCUUCAGACCUGACCUGGAGGUCCUCAGACCUGCGGUAGACCUGACCUGGAGGUCUUCAGACCUGACCUGAAGGUCCUCAGACCUGACCUGGAGGACUCCUGAGGACUCCUGAGGGAUUCUCUCUCUCUAAGAGUGUUUAUGAGGAAAUGACAUUUUUUCAGUCAGUUACCGUAGUGACCUGAAUAUAGGAGCACCCUGAUUACAUUUAGUCUUUAACUUGAAAACAGUCGUGGAAAUCCUCAAACAACAGUUCAGUUUGUAUCUGGACGUCAUUUCUGACCCAAAAGUUCGAGACUUUUUCCUUUUUACUGAAAAGUCAAAAAAGAAAAAAUAGAGGCCCGAGAAAUGAACCCUGGGGGACAAGGUUCUGAUCCGAUCCUGGACCAAACUGGACUGGACUGUCAGGUGGAGUUUCCUGUGUUUGAACAAAAAUCAACAUCCAGAUAUUCAACGAAGACGAGCGACCACGGACAAAGAAGGAGGCGGGACCAGGAACAGACAUGAAAAUAAACCCAGAGCUCUGAUUGGCUCAGAGUUUAUCCAAUCAGGUCACAGCUGUGUAAAGAGUCAAACAGCUUUUUGAAUCUCCUGAAAACAAUCAGAGGAGGUGAAACCUGAGUCAGCGUUUCCUCACAAAGACGAUCCAGGUGUGGCAACUGUGACAAGGUGAGAGCGGGUGAGAGAGGGUAAGAGCGGGUGAGAGAGGGUGAGAGAGGGUGAGAGCGGGUGAGAGAGGGUGAGAGAGGGUGAGAGAGGGUGAGAGAGGGUGAGAGCGGGUGAGAGAGGGUGAGAGCGGGUGAGAGCAGGUGAGAGAGGGUGAGAGAGGGUGAGAGCGGGUGAGAGAGGGUGAGAGAGGGUGAGAGCGGGUGAGAGAGGGUGAGAGCGGGUGAGAGCGGGUGAGAGCGGGUGAGAGCGGGUGAGAGAGGGUGAGAGCGGGUGAGAGAGGGUGAGAGAGGGUGAGAGCGGGUGAGGCAGCUGCAGGAGUCAAACACAAACAUCUGCACUUUAUCUUCAUUCUCUCUGGUUCUGGUUCUGGUUCUGGUUUCAUGUAAACAGACGGUCUGAUGAGAUCCAGCAGAGACCUCCUCCUAAACCCCCGAUCCUCCUCCUCCUCCACCAGGACUGAGGAUGACCCUCAGACUGUAACACGACGGUCGGGGCCCGGACAGGAAAUGUGUGGAGCGAGAUAAGAGAAGAAGAGGUUCUGUGCUGACGUCAUGGCGAGAGUUAAAAAUACAGCGGACCAGGAUCAGGAUCAGGACCAGGAUCAGGAUCAGCUGUUAGGACAAAAUGUCCAAGAACACGUGGAAACUCUCCGCUCUUCUCUGUGACAAACUUUAACGGAUGAAAGUUUGUUUUUUCUUUUUUCUGGAGCUUCAUGUUACGAAGGAAGUGACGAUCAGAGUUCACGGUUCAGAGAGCAGCUCAGUUAGACUCCAGAUCACAUCUAAGAUCAACUCUAGAUCAGGUUUAGACCCUCGUAUAGAAACAGAAGAGGACAUUUCAUCUCAUCAGGCUUUUAUUUUGGUAAUUUCCUGUCCUGUAUUUUGGCUGCUAAAUUUCUCAUAUGGUCAGACAAUGCUUUUAUUUUGUAAUAAAUCUACUUCCUGUACUGAUUGAAAACAGUAAAAGAAAAGUCAGAGAGUCGAAAUGUUGAAUCGCUAACAGCUGCUAAAGCUAGCUCGCUAACAGCUGCUAAAGCUAGCUCGCUAACAGCUGCUAAAGCUAGCUCGCUAACAGCUGCUUCUUUGUGUCUCGUCUGUUUUACGAUGACCUCGGAUGUUAUUUUUAUCGGUAAAUUUGGACAGUCCUAAAUCAAACACGAUCUGGAGGCCCCACUUUUACUGAACCUCGUGUUUUCUGAACUUUAUAAAGUUUUUAAAGUCGUUUUCUGAUUCCGAUCAGAGAGAAAUCACCAAAAUAAAAUCCUGCUGUGUGGACCCUGGUGUUGGUUUGAUCAUGUGGGUCUUAUCUUUAUUAUAUCUGGGAUUUUGUUUUGUUACUCACACAGUCACCACAAGGGGGCGCUUCAGGUGGAUGAGCAGGUAGUCAGUUGGACGUUUCUGUCUUUGAUUUUUAUUUAAUCAAUAAAUGGUUAAACUAUAACUCAACAACAACCUUGGACUGGACGUCGGAUCGAACUGGAAGAUCGUCAAAAACACCUCGCUAAACUCCAGGUCACUGAUUCCUGCUCCGGUCUUCGCUGAUCCUCUCCCCGCCUCUUCCUGUCUUUGUGGUUCUGACUGGACUUUAAAACCGGACCGUGUGGGACAGUUUCUGACCCGUCCUCAGACAGGCGGGUAUCAGCAGACUGACAUGGUUUUCCCACGGUCUCUCUGUCGUCCUGGACGUUCAGACUAAAUACAUGAGGCCUUGAGCGCUCCCUCUCUCUCCGCCCACAGGAGCUCUCAGACAGACGGUGGCGGCGGCGGCGGGGAGGAGGAGGUGAAGCGGCGCUCUGCUCUCCACAGACAGCUCCCUCAGAAAUGUCAGGGACCCUCCUGUGAUGAUAAGACGGAGGCGUGUUGUUGCAGCUGCUCCUGUUGUUUGACCCUCAGAUUCUUCUUUGUGUCGUUUCAGAAAAACUCGUCCUGCGUUUGUUUUUCGGUGAGGACGGCGCUCCUCUGCUGUCGGCGAAAACUCCCUCAGACUCUGUUUCAGGUUCCAGGGCCUGAUUGAACGUCGAUUUAUACCUUCAGACGGACGUCCUCAGACGCCGAGACCCAAAAAAACUCAGCGUUUCAGUUUCCAAGUCAGAAAAUCAGAGGUGGAAACAAGAUGGCGACAUCUAAAACGGUGACUUUAGCACUUUAACCUUCUUCAGCUCGGACUUCUGACGUCAGAGGAAACUCAAAGGACUGAUGGACCGGUCGACCAGAGGUCCUCGAACUACAGUGAGUUUAUUAUCAUGACAGAAAUAAAGACAGAGGAUUGAACGGGGAUACAUAAGCGUGAGAAAGGUCAGGUGUGGCGUGACAGAACGGGUCAGAUAGUGUGAGCGUCAGACCCGUUUGUCGGCUCUGCGGUUCUGCUGGAAGAGUUUCACGUUCCUCAGAAAUCUCAGAUCUAAAGAAGAUUGUUGUUGGAGCUCCGACCAUCUCAGACGGACACACAGCUGAAGCUUUUUAACUCUGCCAACCUGGAUUCACACCAACCAAGAACCACAGUCACAGAAACCAAAGGUUCUGGUUCUGGUUCUGGUUCUGCUCGGUCCGUUCUCAGGUGUUUCAGAGAGAUGCUGCUCAGGUGGUUUCUGAGCGUAAAAAACUGCUCCAUCAGCUUCAACCUGCAGAAAACACCUGAACCAGAACCUUCAAACACACCUGAGUCCAGCUGAGACAGCAGAAGGAGAGGAGAAGGUUGAUGUACGAGCGUCAGGACCAUCGUGAGUUUGAUCCACGAGAUCAUCGAUAAAUGAUCGACCAGCACCGAGACGGAUCUGUGACCGAAAAACAGAGAAACAGGAAACCAUGAAGAGACCGGAUCUUUGAAAACCAGAGACCUGUCUGGACCCGAGUCCAUCUGUGGUGGACUGAGGAGACCAGGAGAACUUUCCUGAGGACCUGAGAAUCUACAUGUGACAUUCAAGUUCUGAACAUCAUGGAGGAAAAACCAAAGAGACAUCUGAUCCAGUUUGAGACCAACGGAGACGGAACAACGAGCUGAACACGGAGGAUUUCAACAUGAACCGGGUCAGGUCCAGACCUGAACGGGAGGGAGGGAGGGAGGGAGGGAGCCACAGACACACAGACACACAGACACAGACACACAGACACACAGACAGACGGACACAGACAGACACACAGACAGACGGACAGACGGACAGACAGACACACAGACACACAGACACACAGACAGACACACAGACACACAGACACACAGACAGACACACAGACACACAGACACACAGACACACAGACAGACGGACAGAAGGACAGACACGAAGACACACACACAGACAGACACACAGACACACAGACAGACCGACGAGGGUUAGAACCAACAAGGAGGAGAAACACAGCUCCUACACACACACACACACACACACACACACACUGGUGGCACACAGACCCAGAUAUCUUGGGUGCGGUAACUAAAAACAGAAUAAUGUAUACGUCUGUGACUGUUUACACACUCUCUCUCUCUCUCUCUCUCACUCACUCACUCACACACACACACAUCUAAACACACACACACACAGACACACACACACACACACACACUCUGAGGACAUGAACUCGCUGUCCUCAGCUGAACAGCCGCGCCUGUGUCUGUGGAAGAUUACUAAACUCAAACCCUCUCUAGUGAGCGUGUGCAGCUGCGGUCUGCAGGAAGGAGUGUCACACACACACACACACACACACACACACACACACACACACACACACACACACACACACACACACACACACAGAUGAUGAUGUUCUUCUUCAUCCAUGAGCCUCUCUCAGCUGACUCAGCAGGUCAUUCUAUAGGUGACAGAGGAUCAGAGGUUGACCGUCUUUAGUCUGAGAUCUGGAAACACCGACGGUCACAUGAGGACAAAGAGAGAAACACGACAACUGGAGACAAAGAGAGAAACACGACAACUGGAGACAAAGAGAGAGAAGAAGUGAAAUCACAAAAAGACCUUAACGGUCAUGUUUAAACCCUGAAAUGUGUAAAAUAAAGAACUUCUCCUCCAUCUUUAGUUCAGAAAUUCGUCCAGGAGUUUCAGUCUGAGGUUAAUAAACCUGAAUCCUUUCAUGGAGAGAGGAUCCUGUUUGGAGUCUCUGUAUACUGACUGCUGUUGUCGAACCUGUAAACUGACUAAAGGUGGAAAAGUUUAACAAACAAAAUUUCUGCUACUUUAUUCUAACUGAACUUCAGACCAAUCAUCUCCUUGACCCUCUUUUGAAAGUCAAAAUCAGCCCUUCCAUCACCCCUAACCAAACCCCAUUCAAAAAACAGUGAUUUUAUCUCACAGGGCAGGUAGAGCUGCUUGUCUGUAUUUCCUUGAAUUCACCAGUGUGUUUGUGUUAUUAUGUGUGAUUUAAAGCUUAUUUCUGCUGACUGUAUUUUCCAACAGCAUGACCUCAGCUGAAACAUGUCAGGGUGAGGCUGUUUGACCUCAUUUCUCAGACAUUACAGGACUUCAACAAAUACUGUGUUUGGAUCAAAAGUCACACAAAACAUAUGCGAACUAACUGAUGCAGACGGGCUUUAACAGGAGACUCUGUUCUUUGAAACUGGAAACAGCUCUCGCCUGGCUCUGCACCAAACCCCAUUCAAAAAAACACUAAUUUUAUCCCACAGGAGAGACACUACUGUUUGUCCUCCUUUGUCUCACUCUCUGAGUUUGUUUGUGUUUCUCUGAGACUUUGGCUGUAUUAAUGCAGGUCUUCCUUUUAAUAUGUCUCGUCUGUUUUAUAUUGAAAGUCGAUCAGGAUGUUGUACCCUUAUUAUUUUACACCUGCACUUUAAACAGAUGCUGCAGUGGUACCCAGAUCCAGAUCAGCUGGGAGAGAGGAUGUGCUAUUUCAGUUCAAUUAUUUCAAUGAGUAUUAAUUAGAAAAUAAUAAGUAUUAGGAGUAGAGGAAACCUUCAGUGGAGAUCCUCAUGUAAAUAGUGUCUUGAUGUGUGGUAGCUGAGCUGAGGUACAGAGUGUCCUGUCAGUGCUGGUUGUAUGGAAAGUACACGGUGUUCAGGGAGUGCUGAGGGUACACAGUGUUCUGAUGGAGGCUGGCUCAAGCUUUACGUGCGGCAGGAGCAGCAGCAGCAGCGGCGGCGGCAGCCUGUGAGGUCACGUCAGGCGUUUGCUGUCUCUGAAUCACAAACUUAAUCUAACAGCUGCAGGAAAACAAGCGGGGCAGAAACUCCCCGUCUGUCCUGGAUCGACCUGAAACGUGCCGCCCCAUACGUCUGAAGUUUAAACAGGCGGCUCACGUGGGGGGGGGGCUGGGCUCACUGUACAUUCAACAUACAUACAGAUCCAGUCAGCAGGGUGGCAGGCAGCCAGCCUGUCCUCAGGAAACCUCACAUCCUCGGAUCAAAUCAGAGCACAGAGACGGCUGCUCUGACCGUCAGUCCUGCUCUCUGGGAUUUUUUCAGAUUUGGGUUUCUGUGUGAACAGAUGAAAGUCCUGACUGAGGUGACCUCUGACCCCCCCACAGGUUUAUCUCUGUCACCUGAAUGUGACCUGAAUGCUGUUGUUUCUGUUUUCAUUCGUCUAUCUGAGCGAUAAGAAGAGAAAACAUGUUGUUAGAGGAUCACUGAAGCACAAAGCCACUCCUGGAGAGGGUUUUACAUCAACCUCUGCUCCAGGUGGCCUGGAGGGGCUUUUUAAGGACUUUCAAGGACCUGGGGGACCACAGACAGACCCGAAACAGGAGAGACUACAUUAGGAGAAAUGUAGGUCAGAGAGUUCAGGAGGUUUGAUCACAGACUGAAGAAGGAGGUGAAGGAGAACAAAGAUACAGAACCUGCCAGCAGGGGGCGCCUGAGGUCAGCUGUUAGAGGAGCUGCUGUUACUCCUGAGGUCAGCUGUUAGAGGAGAUUUCUGACCCCCUUCCUAGAGACUUAAACCGUCUAAUUCUAGUGAAGUCAGAGUUUGAUAUCUUUGAAAAUAGAGCGAAGACAACAGACGGACUCUGAGGAAGACCGGACCAGAGGGUCAUCUGUUCAGGUCAGAGGGCGUGGCCACGGCGUCCUGUCAAACUCUGACGGCUUUUCACAGUCAAUGACCCGCAACAGGAAGUCACAAGAACCAACCAUCAUAAAGGUCAGGGGGCAGGCGGCGAGACAUGCUGACAGUGCUCGGGUCUGUCGGGGCCCUGUGGGGGGCGCUAGUUCUUAAUUCUUUUUUGUGCCUUUCGACUCCAAACGGUCUGAAACCUGCUCCUAAAUCCUGGUCCUGGACUGUGAUUUUAACCCUGACCCCUCACCCUGACCCUCACCCUCACGCUGACCCUGACCCUCACCCUGACCCUGAGCCUCACCCUGACCCCUGACCCUGACCACUCACAACAGCGGAGUCCGAUCUCAGUCCCGUUCACUUAAACUGAGACUUUUUUAAUCAUCCAGAACUCCUGAGUGUAACCUGGUCUAACCCGACUUGGUUCUGGUACCGGUGAACUCGGGUUAGAGGAAAUCUUGUGUUUCAUGUUUUCAGUUUGUUUCAGUUGUUUGGAUCAGUUUCUGUCUUUAAUAAGAACCAUAAACUCAGACAGUCCCUCCUGUGGUCCUCAGAGCUCCGCCCUGAUGUGGUUUCUGGU